UACGGAGGGUCCAAGCGUUAUCCGGAAUCAUUGGGUUUAAAGGGUCUGUAGGCGGUUUUGUAAGUCAGUGGUGAAAGCCCAUCGCUCAACGGUGGAACGGCCAUUGAUACUGCAAGACUUGAAUUAUUAGGAAGUAACUAGAAUAUGUAGUGUAGCGGUGAAAUGCUUAGAGAUUACAUGGAAUACCAAUUGCGAAGGCAGGUUACUACUAAUAUAUUGACGCUGAUGGACGAAAGCGUGGGUAGCGAACAGG
rnacentral:rRNA from 1 species